GCCCCAAUGGACUAAUGGUAUGUUACCCAGAUACAUUGCAUGAGGCUUAUUAUCUUGGGAGAUGAGGGUUCGAAUCCCUCUCAGGGCC